GUCGUGAAAACCGUCCUGAACCCGACUGAAUUCCUGGUGUUUUUUAUUCUGUUUUUUGGACUCGAAGCCAAUUCAUCGGGUCGAACUUUGUGAAUCUGUUUAUGUAAACUUUCAGAACCAAGAGGAUCUUUAUGUUUGUUUUUUUGUUGUUGUUUUUUUCCAAUCGUAGCUUCAUUCUUUGCCUUUAAAACUGAAACAGGUGAGAUUCAAUGUUUCCAAAGACAGAAUUAAAGGAAAACUAAUGAAACCUGUAAAAAAACCUGAAGCAGCAGCAGUGGUUUCAGCCUCAGGUUUGAACCGCACACACAUUUACGUCCACUAGAGGGAGCGCACUGACGAUUUAUACGACUAUUAUUUAUUCUGUUGGAUUUCCAGUCGAAUAAACGUACGACAUCAGAGAU